rnacentral:rRNA from 1 species
UACAGAGGGUGCGAGCGUUAAUCGGAAUUACUGGGCGUAAAGCGUGCGUAGACGGUUAUUUAAGUCGGAUGUGAAAGCCCCGGGCUCAACCUGGGAAUUGCAUUCGAGACUGAAUAGCUAGGGUGCGGUAGAGGGGGAUGGAAUUCCGCGUGUAGCAGUGAAAUGCGUAGAUAUGCGGAGGAACACCGAUGGCGAAGGCAAUCCCCUGGACCUGUACUGACGCUCAUGCACGAAAGCGUGGGGAGCAACAGG